rnacentral:rRNA from 1 species
GCGCUUACAAGGCUCAGGAAGUCCUAACAGGUAACCAGUAUUGGAUCCCCUAAAGUUUGAUCCUGGCUCCAGAAGGACUGACAUAACUUCCGGAAACCGAUCCUCAUACCGGAUAGGAUCUUCUCCUUCAUGGGAGAUGAUUGAAAGAUGGUUUCGGCUAUCACUUACAGAUGGGCCCGCGGUGCAUUAGCUAGUUGGUGAGGUAACGGCUCACCAGGCGACGAUGCAUAGCCCACCUGAGAGGGUGAUCGGCCACACCGGGACUGAGACACGGCCCAGACUCCUACGGGAGGCAGCAGUAGGGAAUCUUCCGCAAUGGACGAAAGUCUGACGGAACAACGCCCCGUGAGUGAUGAAGGCUUUCGGGUCGAAAACUCUGUUGUUAGGGAAGAACCAGUACGAGAGUAAUUGCUCACCUUGACGGUACCUAACCAUAAAGCCACGGGUUUCUACGUGCCAGCACCGGGAAUACGGGAAGGCUCCGCUGGCGUGCCGCGCCAUGUGGGCGGGAGCCAAACAGCGAAUCGGAUACCCCCGUAAUCCCACCCCCCUAAACCGAUGAGUCCCUAAAGAGUUAGAGGGUUUUCCGCCCCUUUUAUUGUUGCAGCUCACCGCAUCAAGCACCCCCUCCUGGUGGAGUCCGGUGGCAAAGAUUGAAACUCAAAAGGAAUUGGACGGGGGGCCCCGCACAAGCGGCCGAGCAUGUGGUUUAAUUCGAAGCAACGCGAAGAACCUUACCAGGUGUUGACAUCCUCUGACAACUCUAGAGAUAGAGCGUUCCUUCGGGGGACAGAGUGACAGGUGGUGCAUGGUUGUCGUCAGCUCGUGUCGUGAGAUGUUGGGUUAAGUCCCGCAACGAGCGCAACCCUUGAUCUUAGUUGCCAGCAUUUAGUUGGGCACUCUAAGGUGACUGCCGGUGACAAACCGGAGGAAGGUGGGGAUGACGUCAAAUCAUCAUGCCCCUUAUGACCUGGGCUACACACGUGCUACAAUGGAUGGUACAAAGGGCUGCAAGACCGCGAGGUCAAGCCAAUCCCAUAAAACCAUUCUCAGUUCGGAUUGUAGGCUGCAACUCGCCUACAUGAAGCUGGAAUCGCUAGUAAUCGCGGAUCAGCAUGUCGCGGUGAAUACGUUACGGGGCAUCAAGGAAACCAGUAGUGGCUCCUCUAGAGUUGGUACCAGGCGCAAUAAGUCGUAACAACAUACCCAGUAUGCCAUCCUCUAGAUUAAUACUCUAG